rnacentral:rRNA from 1 species
UACGAAGGGGGCUAGCGUUGCUCGGAAUCACUGGGCGUAAAGGGCGCGUAGGCGGCCUUCUAAGUCAGACGUGAAAUCCCCCGGCUUAACCUGGGAACUGCGUCUGAUACUGGAGGGCUUGAGUGCGGGAGAGGGAUGUGGAAUUCCAGGUGUAGCGGUGAAAUGCGUAGAUAUCUGGAGGAACACCGGUGGCGAAGGCGGCAUCCUGGACCGACACUGACGCUGAGGCGCGAAAGCUAGGGUAGCAAACGGG